AUUCAGCUGACGAGUCCCAAAAUAGGACGAAACGCGCGUCCUGGAU
rnacentral:hammerhead_ribozyme from 1 species